CCUACCUAAAGGAAGAACAAGUAAAAUCAUAUACUCUCUGACUAUGGGAACCCAAAAAUAAAGACUUUUUUGGCAAGAUUAACCAAAGAGCUCUUUGACAUAUCUUUUUGUUCAUUCAGAGUCUGACUUCAUCCUCUGACUCAUGCUCUGAUUGCUUCUGGUAAUUACUGAAACCCAUUUAGCACACUAAGUAUUAAGUAAGGCAGAGACUCAGUGUAAGCAUACAAAGUGCUGCUUAGGUGGGCAAGCUGAUCCAGUCUAGGAGACCAUGUGGGAGUAUGGCAAGUCUUCCAGCAUAAAGAGGACUGUAGUCAUCCUCCAGCAGAAAAUCAGCAGAGUGGAGGGGGAGUUCUGGAAGGUCUGCUAAGCUGUCAGUUAAUGAGCAUCAUUUCCCACCACCCCCAGUGAAGGCUGGCAAUGAAAAAUAUUUUCUUUCUAAAGAUUCCUGCCAUCAGGUAAGGUUUUCUUUAAGCUUCCAACCUUUUGCUUCUCCUCGACAUUCUUCUUGAUGCUAUUUCAGGGUUAAGAACAAAGAACAACUUCUAACUUAAAACAUCUGUGGAAAACAGACACAGCCUGCAGACACUGCAUGCUACAGAUGGCAAAUUUGUACCACAAAACUUAAAUAAAAGUCAUGGGAAGCCAUUUGUUUUAGUGCUUUGCUCUACAUUAUGUGUUGUCCUGCUUCACUGUCCAACAGAUUGCUAAAUGGUGCUACUAGUAUUAACAAGAGCCCUUCAACAAAUAUGGUCUAUUUGUUAUUACAGCAUUUAACUGCAAAGAUGGGUCAAAAGCAAGCACUUCUUGUUUUGUACUCCAUACUUUUUUUUUAACAUUGCCAAACUAAAGAAUUAAAGAACCAGAUCUCCUUUAGUGCAAUAACUCCCCCAUGUCUCACAUCUCUCCCACCCCUGUCUCCACCUUUUCUUCAUUUUCAUGCUAUAAUUGUAGGCCACCUAGCUCAAACAGUCGCAUUGUUUUCUUGAAUAAGUCUCUAUUAAGGUUUUUUCCAGAAGCUUUUGACAGAAUGAAAAAAAAGCAAUAUGAGGAAUGUCACUGUAACAAUGUAAAUUGUAUGCUUGCAUUUUUUAUUAAUAAGGCAAGGCUCUCCAAGGGACUAAGUUACAUUGUUUUAUGAGAUUAAAUUAUUAGACCUGGAACUGAUAAGGGCCUUGUCCUAUUGUUGAAGAGGCUGCUGGGGAGCAUGGAACUGCAGGGAACAUUGGCGAAUCAUGGAUCUGUUUAGGCUUUAGUAAGGAAGUAUGUUCCAGAACCCUAUGGAAAUCUACCUCUAAGGAAUUAGGUCCCUCAUCUGGAAAGGCCAAGUCACUCUAUAGCCUGUAUUGCUAAGUGCACAGGAAAGCUAGCUAUUCUGCUCCACCUCAAGCUGAAUGUACCGGUGCCUGUGUCAAUGCUAAGAGAAUCUAAGACAUAUUUUUUUAAAAUAACAAUUCUUUACCUGAGAUUCAACAAGUGGUGAAAACUCAUUUCUAAAAGCAAGUUGUGUAACAUUGGUAACUUCAAGCAUUUUGUCUUCAGGACAUAUAUGAUUCCAUAUCUUAUAUAAUAAUCAUGCAUGUCAGUAAAAUAAAAAUCUGUCAGAACCACA